rnacentral:tRNA from 1 species
GAGACAUAGCUCAGCUGGUUAGAGCAUCCGCUUGACGUGCGGAAGGUCUAGGGUUCGAAUCCCUCUGUCUCC